rnacentral:lncRNA from 1 species
AUUUUUAACUGAAUAUUUACGAAAGCUGAAAGCGUGCGAGGGGGGUGGGGUGGAAAUAGCGGCUGCUUCUUUUCCAAGGAUUUAUUUAAUGGGGAUGUGUUCAAGGCAAGACCGAAUUCAGAAGGAUAUCGACGUCGUGAUCCAGAAGUCCAGAGCUGAGGACUGCCUGUUUGCAGGACAACUGUGCAGACUACAAAGCUUCGGAAAACCGGAGAGGCUGAGUCGACUAAUCGUGUUGUUGCACGUUAGAAACGCUUGCAUUGCCUGACUCUGAAACCAGAAGGGCGGCCGAAUGGCCUUCACCCUCCAUUAACCCUCGCCUCCUUCAGAAGCCAGUGCCUCUGGAAAUGCCUGGAUCUGCGACCCCAGCCUGAGCCUAGUAGGGCCCAAGGGAAGCUGAACGCCCCGACGGCUCUCAUGAAAUCACAGAGAUCAGCAACUCUAGAGUGCGAUGAAGAAGCUUCACUCUGGGAGAACCCCCUUCGUGACCACGGUCUCUUUCCUGCCAGGGCACCGGCAACAGUUUUCCGUUUGUGCCUACUCCACCUGCUGUCUUUGUU